rnacentral:lncRNA from 1 species
GCCACUACUCUCGGCACCCUGCCUAUGGGGCAACCCUGGGAGCAGUCACUGAGCUGUGACCCCACAGGAGCUGCAACAGUGUUGCUUUGAUAAAGGUGUUUUCUUCCACCUUACCACUGGCUCGCCCUUGAAUCCUUUCCUGGGUGAAGCCAAGAACCCUUGCAGGCUAAGCCCCACUUUGGGGUUUGCCUGCCCUGCAUCAGCAUCAGUUGCAGUUUCCUCAAAGAUCAUUAUAAAUACUCCUUAACCUACAAAGUUUGGCAGUCACAGCCUGCUCUUCGAGGAACAGCCUGACUCACCAUCAAGUGGCUCCUCAGGUGGUUUUACUUCCCAUGUUUCCCAUGUGAGGUACUAUGCCUCAGUGAUUCCUGGCAAAACUAGGAUUCUCUGUUAGUAUUGUGCUAACUUUGGAGUGAGUUUCUUUUGGAAGGAAACAAGAACAGACAGAAACACAACAUACUUCAUGAAACCACAUUUUAACAUCCUGGCCGAGUAUUCAUCACUCAGCAAGAUAGAGAGACAUAAACUAUUUCCAGCAAGAAUACUUCAUAAAUGAUGAAUAGAAGAAAAAUAGAAGUCCUAAAAAUCUUGCAGAACUGUCUUAAUUUACUAAUAUAUUUACACUGUAUCCUAAGUCACUCUCUAGCUUCUUGCUCUAAGCAUAUGAAAUGUAAGAGCUAAUGGGAACCCCAGUGCCUGUAUAAAUAACAAGAACCAGCAUGUCUUUAUUUAUGGCAGGGAACACUCUACAA